rnacentral:lncRNA from 10 species
ACAGGCAUGAGCCACCAUGCCUGGUCUUCUUUUUAUUAAAAAAAAAAAAAUAGAGACAGGGUUUCACCAUGUUGCCCAGGGUGGUCUCGAACUCUUGAGCUAAAAGGAUCCACCCAUCUUGGCCUCCCAAAGUGCUGGGAUUAUAGGCAUGAGCCAGCGUCCUUGGCCUCUAUUUUAUUUUCUUUCUUUUUUUUUUUUUUGAGAUGGAAGUCUUGCUGCUUCACUCAGGCUGGAGUGCAGUGGCGAGAUCUUGGCUCACUGCAACCUCCACCUCCCGGCUUCAAGCGAUUCUCCUGCCUCAGCCUCCUGAGUAGCUGGGAUUACAGGCAUAGGCCACCAUGCCCAGCUAAUUUUUGUAUUUUUAGUAGAGACGGGGUUUCACCAUGUUGGCCAGGAUGGUCUUGAUCUCCUGACCUCGUGAUCCGCCCGCCUCAGCCUCCCAAAGUGUUGGAAUUACAGGCGUGAGCCGCCACACCCGGCCCUAUUUUCUAUUUUGGUUAUUUCAGACUAGGAAUACAGAGACGCAGAAAACUACAGCUGUGCACUGAGACCACUGACACUUGGGAGUCACCGCACUCCAGGGACAAAAGGAUGGACACAUCCAGAGACACGGACACACCCACAAAUCAUCGCCCCCACUCUUCAGCCUCACAGCGGCCCCCUGGUCCCUCCAGAAUCUCUGUCAUCAGUCACCCCCAUACACAGAGCAUCGUCCAUCGUGGGUGGGGGCCCCGCCACAGAUGCCACUCCCCAGACCCAGAAGAUGACCGCAAGCUGCUGCAACGCGGGGCAGGGGUUCAGGAUGUCCGUAAUCUCCCGCCUCGCCCUGUCUGAGUCCCCUUUUCUGUCGCCUGGAAAAACCACAGCAGCCGCCCUCGCAGAAGUAGGGAAGUUCGCCCGUGCUACAGCGGCGUCCGCAAUCCCAGGGGGCCCCACGGGACGAGGCUUAAGAGGCGAGGCGCGCUGCAUGCCGGGAGGAGCUCGAUGGGCGGGGCUUUGAGCGACUGUGCAGCCUCCGUUUGAGGUCGCCGUUUCCCACAAGCCCCCGGGGCAGGGACCUCGCCGGCGCAGUUGUCGGGCUGGGACUGCGCGGGUGCUGCGGUGAGCUUCGGGGUCUGGUAUGGCUGGUGCUUGUGCAGCCACUGCCUCCGGCCUCGGUGAUUGCGAAACUGAGGGGCAGUUGGGUGCAGUGAGACUUGACGUGCCUUUUAAGAGAAGAAAGAUGCGUGAAGACUGUCCUGCACUUGGUGCAUUCAUAUGGUUUUUCUCCAGCAGAAACUUUCUUGUGCAGGGAGGGUCUAGAGAAAUGCUAUGCAAAUGAAGUAACUUUUCCAUUUGAAACGUUGCAUAACGCAGCAGGCCUCGGUUGUCCAAACGAUGCACAUUUCAUAGGACUUUCGGAAAAGCCUUCCACCAGCUACUGCAGAAAAUGGAUUCUGUGACUGUAAAAACCAAUGGCCGGGCGCAGUGGCUCACACCUGUCAUCCCAGCACUUUGGGAGGCCGAGGAGGGCGGAUCACGAGGUCAGGAGGUCGAGAUCAUCCUAGCUAUCUCUACUAAAAAUGCAAAAAAUUAGCCGGGCGUGGUGACGGGUGCCUGUAGUCCCAGCUACUGGGGAGGCGGAGCUUCGAGUGCGCGCUACUGCACUCCAGCCUGGGCGACAGAGCAAGACUCCGUCUCAAAAAAAAAAAAAAAAACCAAAAAAAUAACAACAACAAUGAAAUGUGCACGUUAAAUGGCUGUACGUUCUAUAUGUCAGUAAAGCUGGUUUUUAAAAAACAUAAAGAAUGUGAAGUUCACUGUCUUCCUCAAAAACAUGAUACACAAAAUGAAGACGCCCAUGACCUCACCUCUAGUCAACGUUAUACUAGUUCCAGCACCACCAGGAAAUAUACAAGAAUUAUAAAACAUAAACUUGUCUUUUUGCAAAUUUCUAAGAAUUAUGCACAUAAAACCCC